rnacentral:lncRNA from 1 species
CCCGGUUUGGCAUGCUCAGGAGGGCCAAAUGUAUAUCUGYGUUUUUGACUGCAUACUGCAUCCCCCCUGACAUAUCUUGAGAUGUUCAUAUCAUUGAUUUACUGCAGGGGGAGAGAGGCUGGGAUAUAAAGGCAUCUCUUGUCGGUCUUGGAGAAGCAUUUAUGCAGGCCUCAUGACUUUAAAAGGAUUUGUGACAAGCCAUGAGUCUUGAGAAAAUAAACCAUGAUGAAUUCCCAUCCAUAAAGACCAUUCUGAAGGGACUCUAUUGUGGGGCCAGUGCUGAUCCAGAGCUUUGCUUUGGAAGAUGAACUCUCAUCUGUGAGCUAUARCUAAGACUCUGCUGGAAGACCGUUGCAGAGGAUUUUCCUGGAGAAAUGUUGGGCAGAGAUGCCUCCAGAGGAGAUCAUGCUGGGGACUGGAAGUCAGCUGGCAAAGUGACACUUGGGCUGCUGCUCAUUGCCUUCAUGGAAGAAGACAGCCACGAGUUCCAGUCUGGAUUGCUUUCACCAGUAGCUAGCCACACAGAGAUCCCCGAGCAAACAUGGAUCCAGCUGGGUCUGGAAUUGGGUUCAGAAUGA